AGUGAACGCUGGCGGUAGGCCUAACACAUGCAAGUCGAACGGCAGCACAAGGGAGCUUGCUCCCUGGGUGGCGAGUGGCGGACGGGUGAGGAAUACAUCGGAAUCUACCUUGUCGUGGGGGAUAACCUCGGGAAACCGGGACUAAUACCGCAUACGACCCUCGGGUGAAAGUAGGGGAUCGCAAGACCUUACGCGAUUGG
rnacentral:rRNA from 1 species